rnacentral:rRNA from 1 species
GCAGUCGAACGGGAUUUAAUCUUUCGGGAUUAAUGAGAGUGGCGCACGGGUGCGUAACGCGUAUGCAACCUACCUUAUACUGAGGGAUAGCCCGGGGAAACUCGGAUUAAUACCUCAUGGUAAUAUGAAUUGGCAUCGGUUUAUAUUUAAAGAUUUAUUGGUAUAAGAUGGGCAUGCGUAGGAUUAGCUAGUUGGUAGGGUAACGGCCUACCAAGGCUACGAUCCUUAGGGGUUCUGAGAGGAAGGUCCCCCACACUGGUACUGAGAUACGGACCAGACUCCUACGGGAGGCAGCAGUAGGGAAUAUUGGGCAAUGGACGGAAGUCUGACCCAGCCAUGCCGCGUGCAGGAAGAAGGCGUUAUGCGUUGUAAACUGCUUUUAUACGGGAAGAAAAGGCCCAUGCGUGGGACAUUGCCGGUACCGUAUGAAUAAGCACCGGCUAACUCCGUGCCAGCAGCCGCGGUAAUACGGAGGGUGCAAGCGUUGUCCGGAUUUAUUGGGUUUAAAGGGUGCGUAGGCGGCUAUUUAAGUCAGUGGUGAAAGUUUUGGGCUCAACCCAGGAAUUGCCAUUGAUACUGGCUAGCUUGAGUGUUGAUGGGGUACAUGGGAUUUAUGGUGUA